UACGAAGGGGGCUAGCGUUGUUCGGAUUUACUGGGCGUAAAGCGCACGUAGGCGGAUCGUUAAGUCAGGGGUGAAAUCCUGGAGCUCAACUCCAGAACUGCCUUUGAUACUGGCGAUCUCGAGUCCGGAAGAGGUGAGUGGAACUCCUAGUGUAGAGGUGGAAUUCGUAGAUAUUCGGAAGAACACCAGUGGCGAAGGCGACUUACUGGACACAUAUUGACGCUGAGGUGCGAAAGCGUGGGGAGCAAACAGG
rnacentral:rRNA from 1 species